GACGAACGCUGGCGGCGUGCUUAACACAUGCAAGUCGAACGGAAAGGCCCUGCGUUUGUGGGGUUCUCGAGUGGCGAAGGGGUGAGUAACACGUGAGUAACCUGCCCUUGUCUUUGGGAUAACUUCAGGAAACUGGGGCUAAUACCGGAUAGGAGCCCCUGCUGCAGGGUGGGGGGUGGAAAGUUUCGGCGGUUGGGGAUGGACUCGCGGCUUAUCAGCUUGUUGGUGGGGGAGCGGCUUACCCAGGCUUUGACGGGUAGCCGGCCGGUGUGCGUGACCGGCCACAAUGGGACUGGGAUACGGCCCAGUGUCCUACGGGAGGCCAUAGUGGGGACUAUUGCCCAGUGGGCGCAAGCGUGAGGCGACAACCCCGCGUUCGUGAUGACGGCUUUCGGGUUGUAAACCGCUUUAGCCUGUGACGAAGCGUGAGUGACGGUACCGGGUAAAGAAGCACCGGCUAACUACGUG
rnacentral:rRNA from 1 species